rnacentral:rRNA from 1 species
GUGGGGAAUAUUGGACAAUGGGCGAAAGCCUGAUCCAGCCAUGCCGCGUGUGUGAAGAAGGUCUUCGGAUUGUAAAGCACUUUAAGUUGGGAGGAAGGGCAGUAAGUUAAUACCUUGCUGUUUUGACGUUACCGACAGAAUAAGCACCGGCUAACUUCGUGCCAGCAGCCGCGGUAAUACGAAGGGUGCAAGCGUUAAUCGGAAUUACAGGGCGUAAAGCGCGCGUAGGUGGUUUUGUAAGUUGGAAGUGAAAUCCCCGGGCUCAACCUGGGAACUGCCUCCAAAACUGCAUGACUAGAGUACGGUAGAGGGUAGUGGAAUUUCCUGUGUAGCGGUGAAAUGCGUAGAUAUAGGAAGGAACACCAGUGGCGAAGGCGACUACCUGGACUGAUACUGACACUGAGGUGCGAAAGCGUGGGGAGCAAACAGGAUUAGAUACCCCUGUAGUCC